UACGAAGGGGGCUAGCGUUGUUCGGAAUUACUGGGCGUAAAGCGCGCGUAGGCGGAAUGUUAAGUCAGGGGUGAAAUCCCGGGGCUCAACCCCGGAACUGCCGUUGAUACUGGCAUGCUCGAGUCCGGAAGAGGUGAGUGGAAUUCCGAGUGUAGAGGUGAAAUUCGUAGAUAUUCGGAGGAACACCAGUGGCGAAGGCGGCUCACUGGUCCGGUACUGACGCUGAGGUGCGAAAGCGUGGGGAGCAAACAGG
rnacentral:rRNA from 1 species